UCGAGAAUCUUCCACAAUGGACGAAAGUCUGAUGGAGCGACGCCGCGUGAUUGAUGAAGUCCCUCUGGGACGUAAAGAUCUUUUUAUGAGGGAAGAAGUUUAUUGACGGUACCUCAUGAAUAAGAGGCUCCUAAUCUCGUGCCAGCAGGAGCGGUAAUACGAGAGCCUCGAGCGUUAUCCGGAAUUAUUGGGCGUAAAGGGUGCGUAGGUUGUUCUGUUAGUCUUUUGUCAAAUCCUCAGGCUUAACUUGAGGACCGCAGAAGAAACGGCAGAACUUGAAAGUGCGAGAGGUAUACGGAACUCAUGGUGUAGGGGUGAAAUCCGUUGAUAUCAUGGGGAACACCAAAAGCGAAAGCAGUAUACUGGCGCAUAUUUGACACUGAAGCACGAAAGCGUGGGUAGCGAAUGGGAUUAGAUACCCAUGUAGUCCCUGAGCGGGCUGGCAAGGCGCAU
rnacentral:rRNA from 1 species